rnacentral:rRNA from 1 species
ACGAACGCUGGCGGCGUGCUUAACCCAUGCCAGUCGAACGGAAAGGCCCUGCUUUUGUGGGGUGCUCGAGUGGCGAACGGGUGAGUAACACGUGAGUAACCUGCCCUUGACUUUGGGAUAACUUCAGGAAACUGGGGCUAAUACCGGAUAGGAGCUCCUGCUGCAUGGUGGGGGUUGGAAAGUUUCGGCGGUUGGGGAUGGACUCGCGGCUUAUCAGCUUGUUGGUGGGGUAGUGGCUUACCAAGGCUUUGACGGGUAGCCGGCCUGAGAGGGUGACCGGCCACAUUGGGACUGAGAUACGGCCCAGACUCCUACGGGAGGCAGCAGUGGGGAAUAUUGCACAAUGGGCGGAAGCCUGAUGCAGCAACGCCGCGUGCGGGAUGACAGCCUUCGGGUUGUAAACCGCUUUCGCCUGUGACGAAGCGUGAGUGACGGUAAUGGGUAAAGAAGCACCGGCUAACUACGUG